UUGAUUUAUAGUUUGAUUCAGUUCUUGGUUCAAAAAAUUUUUUUAUUUAGCAAAUUUCGAUUUGAACAAGCCAGACCAACCCAAUACUUACCCAUGGAUAAGUUGCCCCAUCAUCCUUGCAAAAAUAUAUUUUAAUGGCUUAUGCAACGGUUGGAAUAAACUCUGGGCUGUCAAGAAGAAUCUUUUAGCCAAUUUCUGUCAAG
rnacentral:misc_RNA from 1 species